UUAUGGCUCAGGAUGAGCGCUAGCGACAGGCCUAACACAUGCAAGUCGAGGGGCAGCGCGGAGAAGCUUGCUUUCCUGGCGGCGACCGGCGCACGGGUGCGUAACAGGUGUGCAAUCUGUCCAUAGUCGGGGGGAUAGCCCAGCGAAAGCUGAAUUAACACUCCAUGUGAAUCGAAGCCGCAUGACUUUGAUUUGAAACGCAAGGACUAUGGGUGAGCACGCUUCUGAUUAGGUAGUUGGUGGGGUAACGGCCCACCAAGCCGACGAUCAGUAGGGUUCUGAGAGGAAGGUCCCCCCACAUUGGAACUGAGACACGGUCCAAACUCCUACGGGAGGCAGCAGUGAGGAAUAUUGGUCAAUGGGCGAGAGCCUGAACCAGCCAAGUCGCGUGAAGGAUGAAGGUUCUAUGGAUUGUAAACUUCUUUUGUCCGAGGGUAAAAAAGGUCACGUGUGACUUCUUGCAAGUAUCGGACGAAUAAGCAUCGGCUAACUCCGUGCCAGCCGCAGC
rnacentral:rRNA from 1 species